rnacentral:rRNA from 1 species
AUUGAACGCUGGCGGCAUGCCUUACACAUGCAAGUCGAACGGCAGCGGGCCCUUCGGGGUGCCGGCGAGUGGCGAACGGGUGAGUAAUGCAUCGGAACGUACCCGGGAGAGGGGGAUAACCGGCCGAAAGGCUGGCUAAUACCGCAUGAACUCGGAAGAGCAAAGCGGGGGACCUUCGGGCCUCGCGCUCUCGGAGCGGCCGAUGUCCGAUUGGGCUAGUUGGUGGGGUAAAGGCCCACCAAGGCGACGAUCGGGAGCGGGUCUGAGAGGACGAUCCGCCACACUGGGACUGAGACACGGCCGAGGCUCCUGCGGGAGGCAGCAGUGGGGAAUCUUGGACAAUGGGCGCAAGCCUGAUCCAGCAAGGCCGAGUGGGUGAAGAAGGCCUUCGGGUUGUAAAGCCCUUUCGGCGGGGAAGAAAUCGGUCAGGCGAAUAGUCUGGCCGGAUGACGGUACCCGCAGAAGAAGCACCGGCUAACUACGUG